GGCCUGGUGGCGUAACUGGUAACGCGCGCACUUGUAGUUCCACUUCUACGCAAUAUGACAGUUGCGAGACCCUCGUUCAAUUCGAGGUCAGGCCA